rnacentral:rRNA from 1 species
CCUACGGGAGGCAGCAGUAGGGAAUCUUCCACAAUGGACGAAAGUCUGAUGGAACAACGCCGCGUGAGUGAAGAAGGAUUUCGGUUCGUAAAACUCUGUUGCAAGGGAAGAACAAGUAGCGUAGUAACUGGCGCUACCUUGACGGUACCUUGUUAGAAAGCCACGGCUAACUACGUGCCAGCAGCCGCGGUAAUACGUAGGUGGCAAGCGUUGUCCGGAAUUAUUGGGCGUAAGGCGCGCGCAGGUGGUUCCUUAAGUCUGAUGUGAAAGCCCCCGGCUCAACCGGGGAGGGUCAUUGGAAACUGGGGAACUUGAGUGCAGAAGAGGAUAGUGGAAUUCCAAGUGUAGCGGUGAAAUGCGUAGAGAUUUGGAGGAACACCAGUGGCGAAGGCGACUGUCUGGUCUGUAACUGACACUGAGGCGCGAAAGCGUGGGGAGCAAACAGGAUUAGAUACCCUGGUAGUCCACGCCGUAAACGAUGAGUGCUAAGUGUUGGGGGGUUUCCGCCCCUCAGUGCUGCAGCUAACGCAUUAAGCACUCCGCCUGGGGAGUACGGUCGCAAGACUGAAACUCAAAUGAAUUGACGGGG